GGCAGGCGAGCGGGAGAGCCCGAUGCCUUCGCAAGGGGGCAAAGGCGCCGAAGGAGCAACCGCCCCGGAAACUCUCAGGCCAACGGACCGCUCGGCUGCA
rnacentral:ncRNA from 2 species